rnacentral:lncRNA from 1 species
GAUAACAAACAUCAACUAGUAGUAGUACAAAUGUUGUCCUAUAAAUAAAGAUAGAUUAAUUCAAUGUUUUUUAACAUUCUAACAACGUUCACCAACACGGUUUUUCAGACGUCAUAACAUUAAAAGAGGGACGAAAGAUACCAAAGGGACAGUCAAACUUAUAAAUCUAAAACAAACUGACAACGCCAUGGCUAAAAAGGAAAAAGACAAACAGAAAACCAAUAGUACACAUGACACAACAUAGAAAACUAAAGAAUAAACAACACGAACCCCACCAAAAACUAGGGGUG